rnacentral:rRNA from 2 species
AAUAGUGGUUAUAGUCUGGGUGUUUUACCUCUUUCCAUUCCAAACAGAGAAGUUAAGCCCUACAGUGCCGAUGGUAAUGCAUUUGUGGGAGAGUAUGUAGCCGCCUUUG